rnacentral:lncRNA from 1 species
UCUUGAACUCUUCCAGUCAUACUCCCUCACUCUAGCCUCUACAGUCUUUAUGGCUCCACCCUUCCCUCUCCCUUUGCUCUCUCAGGCGAGGAGGUGCAGAACGUCGGGAUCACACACCCUUCCUUGCCGAUCGUGCUCUGGCUCCGGCCUGUUCUGCUGGGACUGCGACUGGUCGGUCCGCUCCGUCUCCCCGAGAGUUCCACCCGGCGUGGAAGCCCCGCGGGGCGCCCGCCGAUGCCCUCGCUGUGCGCUGACGACCAGGACCUAACCCCGCAGGGCAGAGGAACGGGCGCAACGCGGUUGAGGAAUGAAAAUCGCAAGAACGCGAGUCGCUUUGCACACAGAAACUGGCUCUAAAGCUACCCUUUUUAAAAAAUGUUUAGUUUUUAAAAUGAUGUAUCAACUUUACUGUGCACAUAAAUUCUUCAAUAAAAUUUUUUUAAAAAUUCCAAGUCAAUAACAUUACUUUAAGGGUCAUAACAUAAGGAUCUAGUAUCAAGAACAUGUAAGGAAAUCAUAGUGUAAAGAACUCAACAGUAAAAGAACAACCCAAUUUAAAAAUGUGCAGACUUGAAUAGAUAUUUCUCCAAAAAGGAUGUAAAAUGG